CAAGAGCGUAUAUUAAAGUUGCUGCGGUUAAAAAGCUCGUAGUUGGAUUUCAGUCUAGGAAGGUUAACUCGCCGAAAGGUUGUACGUUGAUUUUCCUCAGACUUCGUCAGAAGCUCGUGCUGCACUUAACCGUGUGGUACGAUGUUCUGACCUUUUACCUUGAGGAAAGUAGAGUGUUUCAGGCAGGCUACCCAGCUUGAAUACAUUAGCAUGGAAUAAUGAAAUGGAUCUCGGUUCGAUUUCGUUGGUUCUAGAGCUGAGGUGAUGAUCAAUAGGAACAGGCGAAGGUAUUCGUACUUGAGAGUGAGGAGUGAAAUCCGAUGAUCUCUUAAAGACGAUCCGAGGCGAAAGCAUUUGUCAAGGAUGUUUUCAUUGA
rnacentral:rRNA from 1 species